rnacentral:rRNA from 1 species
CGCCUCCCGCUAAUUCAUGGGAGGCCCAGCCUGCCCAGUGACAUCGUUCAACGGCCUCGGUACCCUAACCGCGCGAAGGUAGCAUAAUCACUUGUUCUUUAAAUAGGGACUUGUAUCAACGGCACCACGAGGGCUAAACUGUCUCCCCUCUCCAAUCAAUGAACCUGAUCUCUUCGUGAAGAAGCGAAGAUUAACAUAUAAGACGAGAAGACCCCAUGGAGCUUAAAACCAAAUAACACCUCACUACCCACAGAACUUAAUAAAUAGUAAGCCUGUUAGCUAGUUUUCGGCUGGGGCAUCCAAGGAGUAUAACACAACCUCCUUGAAAAAAAUCUAAGAGCCACAACUCUAUGAAACAGUAAUCUGAUCUAAAACGACCCGACCCAAUUCGAUCAACGAACCAAGUUACCCUGGGGAUAACAGCGCAAUCCACUUCAAGAGCCCCUAUCGACAAGUGGGUUUACGACCUCGAUGUUGGAUCAGGGUACCCCAGUGGUGCAGCGCGCUACUAAAGGUUCGUUUGUUCAACGAUUAAAAC